rnacentral:rRNA from 1 species
CAGUCGCCACGGUAAUACGUAGGGUGCAAGCGUUAAUCGGGAUUACUGGGCGUAAAGCGUGCGCAGGCGGUUUGUUAAGACAGAUGUGAAAUCCCCGGGCUCAACCUGGGAACUGCAUUUGUGACUGGCAAGCUAGAGUGUGGCAGAGGGGGGUGGAAUUCCGCGUGUAGCAGUGAAAUGCGUAGAUAUGCGGAGGAACACCGAUGGCGAAGGCAGCCCCCUGGGCCAACACUGACGCUCAUGCACGAAAGCGUGGGGAGCAAACAGGAUUAGAUACCCCCGUAGUCCCUGUCUCUUAUAC